AUCACCUAGGAUGGGAGAAGAGAGGCCAGGGUCCUAAGGGCAGCAGGAUCAGGGGUGGCUCCACAGGCAAGAGACUCUAGUCUGUCUAUUCCAGCCCCCCAUGGCUUGUUGAGGUCACAGGGCGAGCUGGCAGCAGAGCGUCAGACACUUGGGCUCCUGCCCCACCGUAUGGACAGGGAAGAGUCAGUCCAGGGGGGAGAGGACUUGCCUGCAGCUCCUUGUCCACAGCCUUGGACACCUCACUGGCUACAGACUCCAGCCUCUGCCGCACAGGCCCGUCAUUGGCCAGCACGUGACCCAGCUCGUAGAGGCUAGGGAACAGCUGUGUGAGGGAGGGGUUAUGACCAGAAGCUCCCCCACACAUGGAGUCCAGCCACGGGCACCACGCGAUGCCUCCUUCAUGCCUCACCCUAUCACAUCAAACCUGUGCCUCGAACACCCCGAGUGUCCCCGAGGGAAACGUUUACUUGCUCU